rnacentral:tRNA from 1 species
GUUUUUGUAGUUGAAUUACAACAAUGGUUUUUCAUAUCGUAGGUCUUGGUUAGAGUCCGGGCAGAAACU